UGCAGUCGAGCGGAGUGNUGGUGCUUGCACUAUCACUUAGCGGCGGACGGGUGAGUAAUGCUUAGGAAUCUGCCUAUUAGUGGGGGACAACAUUUCGAAAGGAAUGCUAAUACCGCAUACGUCCUACGGGAGAAAGCAGGGGAUCUUCGGACCUUGCGCUAAUAGAUGAGCCUAAGUCGGAUUAGCUAGUUGGUGGGGUAAAGGCCUACCAAGGCGACGAUCUGUAGCGGGUCUGAGAGGAUGAUCCGCCACACUGGGACUGAGACACGGCCCAGACUCCUACGGGAGGCAGCAGUGGGGAAUAUUGGACAAUGGGCGCAAGCCUGAUCCAGCCAUGCCGCGUGUGUGAAGAAGGCCUUAUGGUUGUAAAGCACUUUAAGCGAGGAGGAGGCUACUGAAGUUAAUACCUUCAGAUAGUGGACGUUACUCGCAGAAUAAGCACCGGCUAACUCUGUGCCAGCAGCCGCGGUAAUACAGAGGGUGCAAGCGUUAAUCGGAUUUACUGGGCGUAAAGCGCGCGUAGGCGGCUAAUUAAGUCAAAUGUGAAAUCCCCGAGCUUAACUUGGGAAUUGCAUUCGAUACUGGUUAGCUAGAGUGUGGGAGAGGAUGGUAGAAUUCCAGGUGUAGCGGUGAAAUGCGUAGAGAUCUGGAGGAAUACCGAUGGCGAAGGCAGCCAUCUGGCCUAACACUGACGCUGAGGUGCGAAAGCAUGGGGAGCAAACAGGAUUAGAUACCCUGGUAGUCCAUGCCGUAAACGAUGUCUACUAGCCGUUGGGGCCUUUGAGGCUUUAGUGGCGCAGCUAACGCGAUAAGUAGACCGCCUGGGGAGUACGGUCGCAAGACUAAAACUCAAAUGAAUUGACGGGGGCCCGCACAAGCGGUGGAGCAUGUGGUUUAAUUCGAUGCAACGCGAAGAACCUUACCUGGNCCUUGACAUAGUAAGAACUUUCCAGAGAUGGAUUGGUGCCUUCGGGAACUUACAUACAGGUGCUGCAUGGCUGUCGUCAGCUCGUGUCGUGAGAUGUUGGGUUAAGUCCCGCAACGAGCGCAACCCUUUUCCUUAUUUGCCAGCGAGUAAUGUCGGGAACUUUAAGGAUACUGCCAGUGACAAACUGGAGGAAGGCGGGGACGACGUCAAGUCAUCAUGGCCCUUACGGCCAGGGCUACACACGUGCUACAAUGGUCGGUACAAAGGGUUGCUACCUAGCGAUAGGAUGCUAAUCUCAAAAA
rnacentral:rRNA from 1 species